UACGUAGGGUGCGAGCGUUGUCCGGAAUUAUUGGGCGUAAAGGGCUCGUAGGCGGUUUGUCGCGUCGGGAGUGAAAACCCAGGGCUUAACUCUGGGCUUGCUUUCGAUACGGGCAGACUAGAGGUAUGCAGGGGAGAACGGAAUUCCUGGUGUAGCGGUGAAAUGCGCAGAUAUCAGGAGGAACACCAAUGGCGAAAGCAGCUCUCUGGGACGGUACUGACGCUGAGACGCGAAAGCGUGGGGAGCGAACAGG
rnacentral:rRNA from 1 species